AUUGAACGCUGGCGGCAGGCUUAACACAUGCAAGUCGAGCGGGGGAAGGUAGCUUGCUACCGGACCUAGCGGCGGACGGGUGAGUAAUGCUUAGGAAUCUGCCUAUUAGUGGGGGACAACAUCUCGAAAGGGAUGCCAAUACCGCAUACGUCCUACGGGAGAAAGCAGGGGAUCUUCGGACCUUGCGCUAAUAGAUGAGCCUAAGUCGGAUUAGCCAGUUGGUGGGGUAAAGGCCUACCAAGGCGACGAUCUGUAGCGGGUCUGAGAGGAUGAUCCGCCACACUGGGACUGAGACACGGCCCAGACUCCUACGGGAGGCAGCAGUGGGGAAUAUUGGACAAUGGGGGGAACCCUGAUCCAGCCAUGCCGCGUGUGUGAAGAAGGCCUUAUGGUUGUAAAGCACUUUAAGCGAGGAGGAGGCUACUUUAGUUAAUACCUAGAGAUAGUGGACGUUACUCGCAGAAUAAGCACCGGCUAACUCUGUGCCAGCAGCCGCCGUAA
rnacentral:rRNA from 1 species